CUGAGACAGUCAGAGUUGUUCCUGGGAAGCUGUACCCCCACUCUGCAAUUUUUUUGUCAGCAAACUGUGUUUUAAAUAUGAACUUGUACUCAGCUGAGUCAGUCUCUCUCAGGUCUGUGAUUCUCAGGGUACAGUCACUCAUAUUAUCUCCAAGGUACUUCACACGACCUGAAUACUCUGGCAAUGAACUCAGGAUAACAGGCCUCUCGUCACGUCUCUCUUGGACAUACAAGCUUGACCAAGAGAGUGUAUGAUUAUUUGGAUAUUGAUACUUGCAGGGAAGAUCCACUGUUGAGCCCUUCAAGGCAGAGAUUCUCUGAUGGGUGUAAGUCACACUGAAACAGG
ensembl:lncRNA